UACAGAGGGUGCGAGCGUUGUUCGGAAUUACUGGGCGUAAAGCGCGUGUAGGCGGUUCGAUAAGUCAGAUGUGAAAUCCUGGGGCCUAACUCCAGAAGUGCAUUUGAAACUAUCGAGCUGGAGUGAUGUAGAGGAUGGCGGAAUACCCAGUGUAGAGGUGAAAUUCGUAGAGAUUGGGUAGAACACCGGUGGCGAAGGCGGCCAUCUGGGCAUUAACUGACGCUGAGACGCGAAAGCGUGGGGAGCAAACAGG
rnacentral:rRNA from 1 species